rfam:Oryza sativa (indica cultivar-group) chromosome 11, whole genome shotgun sequence.
AAAAAGGCAAACCCUGGGUUUCCGUAUCCAACUUUGACUGUUCGUCUUAUAUAAAUUUUUUUUAUAAUUCGUAUUUUCAUUGUUGUUAGAUAAUAAAACAUGAUUAAUAUUUUAUGCGUGACUUGUCUUUUAAUUUUUUUUAUAAUUUUUUCAAAUAAGACGGAUGGUCGAAUGUUGGACACGGAAACCAAGGUUUGUCAUUUUU